AUGGAGGAGGAAAAUUUGCAGCCUUCCGCUAAUGAUGAACAGGAAGAUUCCCUUUCAUUUAUUUUUGAUCCAAGAACAUGGGAAAUUCUUGACAAUAGCAAAAGGGAUAUUUUAAUUGAGAAGGGACCUAUUAGAGUACCAGAUCUGGAGUUCGAGAAGGACACCAUUGAUAGACACUUUUCAUAUGCUUUUUACUCCAGGAAGUUAAGUAAUGGUGAGUUUGUUGACAGAAAGUGGUUGGUUUACCACAAAGGUGCAAACAAAGUAUAUUGUUUUUGUUGCAAGUUGUUCAAAUCAAAACUGAGCAAGUCUAUGCUAACAUCUGAUGGAUUGAAUGACUGGAAGCGUUUGAGUGCGCAUCUCAAAGAUCACGAGAAAAGUGUUGAGCAUUUAACAAACAUGAAUACAUGGAAUGAAGUUAGGUUGAGACUAAGCAAAAAUCAGACAAUUGAUGAUGACAUGCAAAGGGAGAUUGCAAAGGAGAAGAAGCGUUGGAGACAAGUUUUGGUAAGAAUAGUUUCGGCUGUGAAGUUUCUUGCAAAACAUACUUUGGCUUUUCGUGGAUCAAAUGAGAAGUUGUAUCAAGAUAAUAAUGGUAAUUUUCUAGGCAUAAUUGAAAUGUUUGCUGAAUUUGAUCCUGUUAUGCAAGAACACAUCCCGCGUAUUCAAAAUAGUGAAAUCCAUCAUCACUAUCUUGGCCACAAAAUCCAGAAUGAGUUGAUCUCAGUUCUUGCUGAUGCUGUGAGAAUAUUUUAA
rnacentral:rRNA from 1 species